GUCCUAGAAAGAAACGUCCGUGCUGCGUUGAGGUCACCAACCUCGAUAUGAUCACUGAGAUGCUGAGGCUGAUACGACCGGCUCCCCUUAUUUUGACUCCGGUCAGUGAGCCAGACCACCGGUGGAAAUGUCUGUGAAGAUCCUCUCCGUCACUCUCCUCCUGGUCUCAAUGUGUGUGUGCUGCCACUCCUCUGAAGUGCUCGUCUUCCUGGAAUUAAACCACCGUGAAUUAAACCAAAGGCAAUGUGAGUGCUGACGUGGUGGGGGAAACUUAUCGUGAGCAGGCUGCAAGACAUCCCUGUGUGAAGGCUAUAAUUUUCAACACAAAAACUGGACAACUUUGUGCUGAUCCAAAUGCUCAGUGGGUCAAGGAUC